UUCGGGCGCCGGCGAGUGGCGAACGGGUGAGUAACACGUGGAGACCUAUCCAUUGGUGGGGGACAACAGCUGGAAACGGCUGCUAAUACCGCAUAAUCCCUACGGGGGAAAGAUUUAUCGCCAUAGGAGGGUUCCGCGUCGGAUUAGCUAGUUGGUGGGGUAACGGCCUACCAAGGCAACGAUCCGUAGCUGGUCUUAGAGGAUGAUCAGCCACACUGGGACUGAGACACGGCCCAGACUCCUACGGGAGGCAGCAGUGGGGAAUAUUGCGCAAUGGAGGAAACUCUGACGCAGCGAUGCCGCGUGGGUGAAGAAGGCCUUAGGGUUGUAAAGCCCUUUCAGUGGGAACGAUGGUGACGGUACCCACAGAAGAAGCCCCGGCUAACUCCGUGCCAGCAGCCGCGGUAAUACGGAGGGGGCGAGCGUUGUUCGGAAUUAUUGGGCGUAAAGCGCGCGUAGGCGGUUUAUUAAG
rnacentral:rRNA from 1 species